rnacentral:hammerhead_ribozyme from 1 species
AUCCAUCUGACGAGUCCCGAACAGGACAAGACGCUCGUCCUGGAU